rnacentral:lncRNA from 1 species
AAGUAAAUAUCAACUUUUCAAAGAUUACAAAAUAGCCCCACAAGUGGAUAAAUCCACUAGGGAGGCCGGCCAUUCAAUGGGAUGGUGGGAAGUCUCACCCACAUGCUACAAUUUAAUGCAAAGUAGGAAAAAAUCCAAAUUUGCAUGUCACUUGGUUUUGGCAUUAAAAGGCUUUAAUGAGAAAGUUUGAUGGAAAUCUCCUAGACAAGUCUAGGGUUUUAAUAAGUUUUAAUAUAGUUAUGGAUGGUAAGAACAUCACCCAAAACCAUAAAACCAUGCAUGAAAACCAUUUUCACCCAAAACCCAAUUAUGAACACCAAGACAAAACCAUGAACACAAUUUCAAGAUUUGUACAUUCUUGGUGAUUAUUCAAACCCAAAAACAAAAGUGACAAGAACACUUCUUUUUAAGCUUUAAUAGGAUGUGUGAGUGGUUUACAAUAAAACACAAACACAACCCAAAACCACCCCAAAACCGUGCCUACCCUUUUGAACAAAACCCCAAAUUUUGUUCAUGACUUAUUCUUCAUUUAUGCAUACAAAACAACUUUUACAUGCAUAUCUUUUUCAACUCUUGAUUUACAUUUUUCAACCAUUGAAAAACAAAAGACAAACAUACUUUUAAAUGAAGAAAUAAUAUGUCAAACUAGUCUUAAACUCAUUUUUCAUUCAUGCAUACAAAACACUUUUGCAAACAUAUCUUUCUCAACUUUUGACUAACAUUUUUCAACCAUUGAAAAACAAAAGACAAACAUACUUUGAAUGAAACAAUAAAUAUGUCAUGCAUAACAUUAAUACCCAUAUGCAUAAAAUCCAAAAGGACACAUUAUAUAUAAACCAUUGGCUCUGAUACCACUUGAAGGGAAAUUUAUGAGAUUUCUAGAAUGGGAUUUCAUAAUGACUAUCAUGCAUAUUCAAAUCAAAUUUAAUAUACGAAAGCAGCGGAAGCAUUUAUAACAUAUUAUCAAAGCUAUAGUCAUGCAAAUCCCCUUCAAGGUUCAUAGGUUUAUAUAUAAUGCAUCAAAACAUUUUAAAGAAUCAAGAACAAGGUGAAGGUUAGUAUUAUACCUCUUGAUCUAGACUUGAGACCAAGGAUGGACCACCUCCAAGCCCUUUGCUCCUUGAAAUCCUUGAGCCUAGCUUCCCUCCUUGCCUCCUCCACUUUGUUACAAUGAGUGCUCCUAGGUUCUCUUCAAGUUUCCAAAGUAGGAAACCUCUAAAGAUCCUCACCCACUAGUGUAGUGAGAAGGAUGAAGGAAUAACCAAAAGGGUGUAAGAGAUGUUAGUAAAAACCCCCUUUGGUGGCCGGCCUUUGUGUAGUUUAGAGAGCUCUUUUUCUUUUGCCUCUUUGUUGUUUUAACACACAAAAACCCUAAUGAACUUUAUCUCUAUAAAGUUGCUUAUAUAGACAAAAGAAACCUAGUCAACACUUGACUAAUUUUCUCUUCUUCCCCACUUAAUAUGGCCGG